AUAAGUCACUAGGGGUGCUGUAAAAAGCUGAGAAAUACCCUCGAACCUGAACAAGAUAAUCCUUGCGUAAGGAAAGUGCUGGCAUUUUUAA
rnacentral:ncRNA from 2 species